rnacentral:rRNA from 1 species
CCUACGGGAGGCUGCAGUGGGGAAUAUUGGACAAUGGGGGGAACCCUGAUCCAGCCAUGCCGCGUGUGUGAAGAAGGCCCUCGGGUUGUAAAGCAUUUUCAGUGAGGAAGAACGCCUGGUGGUUAAUACCCAUCAGGAAAGACAUCACUCACAGAAGAAGCACCGGCUAACUCCGUGCCAGCAGCCGCGGUAAUACGGAGGGUGCGAGCGUUAAUCGGAAUUACUGGGCGUAAAGCGCGCGUAGGUGGCUUGAUAAGCCGGUUGUGAAAGCCCCGGGCUCAACCUGGGAACGGCAUCCGGAACUGUCAAGCUAGAGUGCAGGAGAGGAAGGUAGAAUUCCCGGUGUAGCGGUGAAAUGCGUAGAGAUCGGGAGGAAUACCAGUGGCGAAGGCGGCCUUCUGGACUGACACUGACACUGAGGUGCGAAAGCGUGGGUAGCAAACAGGAUUAGAUACCCGGGUAGUC